UGGCGGACGGGUGAGUAAUGUCUGGGAAACUGCCUGAUGGAGGGGGAUAACUACUGGAAACGGUAGCUAAUACCGCAUAACGUCGCAAGACCAAAGAGGGGGACCUUCGGGCCUCUUGCCAUCGGAUGUGCCCAGAUGGGAUUAGCUAGUAGGUGAGGUAACGGCUCACCUAGGCGACGAUCCCUAGCUGGUCUGAGAGGAUGACCAGCCACACUGGAACUGAGACACGGUCCGAACUCCUACGGGAGGCAGCAUG
rnacentral:rRNA from 1 species